UACGUAGGGGGCAAGCGUUGUCCGGAAUCAUUGGGCGUAAAGAGCGUGUAGGCGGUCCGGUAAGUCGGCUGUGAAAGUCCAGGGCUCAACCCUGGGAUGCCGGUCGAUACUGCCGGACUAGAGUUCGGAAGAGGCGAGUGGAAUUCCCAGUGUAGAGGUGAAAUUCGUAGAUAUUGGGAAGAACACCGAUGGCGAAGGCAGCCAUCUGGACCGACACUGACGCUGAGGCGCGAAAGCGUGGGGAGCAAACAGG
rnacentral:rRNA from 1 species